CUGCUGCCUCCCGUAGGAGUUUGGGCCGUGUCUCAGUCCCAAUGUGGCCGUCCACCCUCUCAGGCCGGCUACUGAUCGUCGCUUUGGUAGGCCGUUACCCUGCCAACUGGCUAAUCAGACGCGGGUCCAUCGCAUACCACCUCGGUUUUUCACACUGGACCAUGCGGUCCCGUGCGCUUAUGCGGUAUUAGCACCUGUUUCCAGGUGUUAUCCCCCGGUAUACGGCAGGUUACCCACGCGUUACUCACCCGUCCGCCACUACUUAA
rnacentral:rRNA from 1 species